GUGUGCCCUGAGCUGACUGCACUGAUCAUAACACGGUGACGGCUGCUGCCCUUCCUUGAGAGGCACCCUGACCCCGUGUCCUGAGAGCAAGGUGGCGAUGGUCCUGAUUCCGUGGUCCCACUACAGCUUGGUCUAGGCCAAUGGAUGCUGGUGGCUUUGACAGAAGGGCUGUUGGUCAAGGACAGGCCCCUGGGAAACCAUCCCGGCUCUGGGGCCGCGCGCCCUGGAGGUUGAGAAGAGAAGGAGCCUUUCCUGCCACGGGUUACCGGCGAACGUCUUCAGCACAUCAUCUGCAGGUCCUGCUCCUUGCCUGGCUUGUUAUUGCCCAAAACAAAUGACCUGUAACUUACGUGUCCGACAACCGAGAGAUGGUUACGGAAAGGACAGAACUGUAGUGCGUUAAGUUACUAUCUGAAAUGAUGUUUAUACAGCACUUAUAAUAACAUGAAAAAUUGUUUAUGAUCUAAUAGCAACAGGAAACAAAAUGCUGUGCCAUGUUAUAUGAAGACUAUUACGGCAAAUGCAUUUCUUUAAAAAAUCAGAGAAUUCUAAUAUGAUACCAGAAGAAAGCAGCAAGAAAGCUAUCUUUGGAUGACGAGUUUAAGAUGCUUAUUCUAAACAAUGAAUUCUGGAACACUGAAAAGAAAUU